GCAUUGGCGGUCCAGUGGUAGAAUUCUCGCUUUCCAUGCGAGAGACCCAGGUUUGGUUCCUGGCCGAUGCA
rnacentral:tRNA from 1 species